GACCUAGCGGCGGACGGGUGAGUAACGCGUGGGAACGUGCCCUUCCCUGCCGGAUAGUCCCUGGAAACGGGGUUUAAUACGGCAUACGCCCUUCGGGGGAAAGAAUUUCGGGGAAGGAUCGGCCCGCGUCUGAUUAGGUAGUUGGUGGGGUAAUGGCCUACCAAGCCGACGAUCAGUAGCUGGUUUUAGAGGAUGAUCAGCCACACUGGGACUGAGACACGGCCCAGACUCCUACGGGAGGCAGCAGUGGGGAAUCUUAGACAAUGGGCGCAAGCCUGAUCUAGCCAUGCCGCGUGUGUGAUGAAGGCCUUAGGGUCGUAAAGCACUUUCGCCAGGGAUGAUAAUGACAGUACCUGGUAAAGAAACCCCGGCUAACUCCGUGCCAGCAGCCGCGGUAAUACGGAGGGGGUUAGCGUUGUUCGGAAUUACUGGGCGUAAAGCGCGCGUAGGCGGACUGGAAAGUUGGGGGUGAAAUCCCGGGGCUCAACCUCGGAACUGCCUUCAAAACUAUCAGUCUAGAGUUCGAGAGAGGUGAGUGGAACUCCGAGUGUAGAGGUGAAAUUCGUAGAUAUUCGGAAGAACACCAGUGGCGAAGGCGGCUCACUGGCUCGAUACUGACGCUGAGGUGCGAAAGUGUGGGGAGCAAACAGGAUUAGAUACCCUGGUAGUCCACACCGUAAACGAUGAAUGCCAGUCGUCGGGCAGCAUGCUGUUCGGUGACACACCUAAC
rnacentral:rRNA from 1 species